GACGAACGCUGGCGGCGUGCUUAACACAUGCAAGUCGAACGGAAAGGCCCUGCUUUUGUGGGGUGCUCGAGUGGCGAACGGGUGAGUAACACGUGAGUAACCUGCCCUUGACUUUGGGAUAACUUCAGGAAACUGGGGCUAAUACCGGAUAGGAGCUCCUGCUGCAUGGUGGGGGUUGGAAAGUUUCGGCGGUUGGGGAUGGACUCGCGGCUUAUCAGCUUGUUGGUGGGGUAGUGGCUUACCAGGGCUUUGACGGGUAGCCGGCCUGAGAGGGUGACCGGCCACAUUGGGACUGAGAUACGGCCCAGACUCCCACGGGAGGCAGCAGUGGGGAAUAUUGCACAAUGGGCGGAAGCCUGAUGCAGCAACGCCGCGUGCGGGAUGACGGCCUUCGGGUUGUAAACCGCUUUCGCCUGUGACGAAGCGUGAGUGACGGUAAUGGGUAAAGAAGCACCGGCUAACUACGUG
rnacentral:rRNA from 1 species